AUGCCCCGGAGCCCCAGGAUAGCACCCCCAGAGCCCCAGGAUACGCACCAGCUCCCCGGGGCGCGGGCAGGCCCUUCAGGAGCGGUCCCCCCCACCGGGUCCUGCACUCACCCUGCCCGGGGCUCUGCUGGGCAGCUUCCAGAACCCACUGCGACGCUUCCCACACCUGGCGUUCGGCAUCUUCCCGCGGCCCGGGAUGCUCUCCCCUCCGGGUGCACCUGGGCUGCGGCCCAGCUCCUCUUUGGGGUGUCCACAGCUGCUGCUCCCGGAAGCCCUUCCUGCCUGGCGUCGCGGGGCGGGGGCGGCAGCCGGGGCACGGGCAGGGUCAGGGCUAUGGAGGGCAAGGGCGUGAGCUCUGCAAGAGGGGGCGCCGGACAGAGCCUGGUAGAGGUGAGCGGGAGGCAGAGCCGGAGUCGGGAGGAGGCAGGUGUGUCCACUCCCCGAGGUCAAGGAUAAAGGGAGCGUUUUCAGGGAAGAGGGCAUGGCCAAGGGUGCCGACGCGGCGGAGGAUGGAGGCAAUUGCCUCCGCUUCCUGAGCUGGGUGGCCACGGUCCGCCCCUGGGACCACGCGCGGGGCCAGGCCCUCUGGCUGGAUCCUGUACUGAGGAAACCUCCCGGUGGGGCUGGACGGGUGGACCCAGGAGGGUGCGGACCCACCACCCAACCCCAGGGACGAGUCCCUGAGACCCUACUGAGCAGAAACAGGGUGGGACGGAAACUAAACAAAUUGUUCCUUUAAAGUCACCUGAUAUUUACGUCUCAGUCAUGUUUGAUUUUUGGCUUCUCUUUCCUGUGGCAGGAUAUUCAAAGAAAACAAAUCUUUAGAAGCUUCAACUCCAAAGCAAAGAGGCCUCUGUGUGCCUACUUCUGGUCUCCGCUUUAGGAACAAACCUCCUUUGCUCUUUGGUCUGAAUUGUGUCCAAGGCAGACAGAGCCUCCUGGCCAAGACGGGGUGCAGCCCGAGUGUCUGCUACAGCAUCAGAGAGCCCGGCCGGACCAGACCUUGACACCUUGCCCGGGCUUCCACUCCAGGGGCCCAGACGGACCGACGGAUGGUGGUGCCAGCUGGGAGCAGAGAGCACGGGGCCACAUCCCUGCCCCAAACCGAAGUCCUGCCAGCUCGCCCCCUAGGGACCAGAUACUUGGUGGGGAAGACAGGGAGCUGAGAAGUCACCCAAGGAAGGCAACCCAGGCUUUGCCUGGGAUUUGGAAACAGGUGGUCCAUUCUUGGCUCUGGUCAUUUCCAAAUGACCCAAAAAGCUAGAGAAAGAGGCCCGAGGAGGGGAAAUGGAGACAAAUACUGGAGCCUAAGCAGGCCCUCCUCCUGCUCUCUUGACAGCAACCCCACAGCCGCUGGGUUGUGGCCUAUGCUAGGUGGGGACCAUCACCACAACGCCGCGAGGUGCCUUCAGAUACAGGACCAGGGGCUCCGAGAGGCUAGAGGCUUUCCAGGGCCACAGGACCCUAAGCAGCAGGGCCUGCUUUCCAACUCAGCCCCCGGAUGCCCAGCCUGUGCUCUGUCCAUUGCAUCGUCCCACUGCCCGGACAGCAAGAGGGCAGGCAGGACAGCCUUUCGGGUCUUGUCAGUGGCUAAGGAACAGUCAUCUAGUGAACACCGGGCAGGGGAUUUUUGCAGAGCAGAUGGCCAACGGUCCUGCCCAGGGAUCAGGACCCUUGUUUGGUGACCUAAUGCAGCCCCUGCAAUGGGGGACAGAUGAGUUUCAGGUAAAGGACCCUAAUGUGUCGUUCAAAAAGCCCUGCCAGGGGCCCUGUCCACCUCAGGGUUUGUCCCCACGCCAGGGACCCUCCUUCCUGGUCACUGCGUCAUAAACUGGAGGUCAGGGCAAGAGUAGCCCAAGGAGCCUCCAGAAAAUUCUGUCCUUGUAGACAGGAAGACAGAGGCCUGAGGCCCAGGGUCACGUCCACAGACGUAAUAGCAGCACCUUCCUCGCAAGUCGUCUAAGGAUUGAGACCCUGCAAGCCGAGCAACCCGCAGUCAGCCCGCCGCUGUCCCUGGUGUCCUCACGAUCUUGCCCACCGGAGCCACGGCCCUAGGGCUCUGGAAGGAAGGGUGCCUCCCGCUCUACAAUGCAGGCCUCUGACCCACCUGGCUGUGCAGGUGGGGUGACAGGAGGAGUCAGAGGGAGGAGGGCUGGAACCCGGCCUCACCUGCCUCUAGGUAGGAGGCGACCUGGGGGUGCCCUGCAGAGCCCCCCCCCCCACCUGGUGCUUUGGGUUUCUUCUGGGAAAUAAGCUGGCCGUUGAGGAGGGAGCCUUCGGGGCCGGGAGCCUCCAGCUGCACAGCGGGACUGCUGAGAGCGCGGGCCUGGGGAGAGGAGGGGGCCCCCCCGCCACACUGCCGAGCCCCCCCACCCCGGGCUGCUCCGCCCCUGGCAGGGCCCAGAGCCUGCGGGUUCCCCACCCGCCGGGCUUCCAAGAAUCACAGGCAAAGGUGUCACUUGACAGUUGGCAGACAGUUAGCUCUGUGUUCCUGGAAGCUGCAGUCCAGGAAGGGGGGGGCGGGGGGCAGGGGGGUGAAGGGGGGGCAGGGCAGAGAGGGGCACGAGGGGAAAGGCAAGAAGCAGGAGCGAGGAGGGCUGAAGCCAGACUGAGCCGCCUGCCCCGUGUGCAGAGGCUGCCGGGAGAGGAGGCCAGGCCGGGCCGUGGCCCUGAGCAGCCCCACAGGGGGCGGGGGACUGAGUCCUCGGCCUCCUUCUCCUGGGCCACUGGUCACAGAAUAGGAGCAACGUGGCGUCAACGGGAGACCCCGCAGCACGGGAGGCAGGGCCCGUGGGGGCCAUCCUGCCGGUCCCUGGAGACGCGCAGGCCUCCCCUCCUUUGGCCCAGACACACCAAGGCCGGCUGCUCCCCAGGGGGCACCGCGGACGCCCCUGCAGCCGCCAGCGGGGAGCCCACAGCCGCCCGGCCGGCACAUCCUAUAGCCUCCCACAGCCUCCUGCAGCCUCCCCCAGCCUCCUACAGCCUCCACUGGGGAGGCCGUGGUCACGCCUUGGAUCAAGCACCUGCGGGGUGCUGAGCCGGCCCCACCCCUGCCCCCCGGGGCCGGUCCCCAGGAUGCCCCCCGCUCCCCAGCAGGGGACCAGCCCAGUGGGAGCCACAGCAGCAGCAUCCUCGUCCGAGGUCGCGGGGCUCAGCUGCCCGGGCCAGGGGCCGGCAGGAGGCCGCAUAGCCCGACAGCAGCGCUGACGCCACCGCUCAGGCGGCCUCGGGGGCUGACCCCAGCCAGUGGGACGGUCUGCGAGACCCGGACGCAGCCCGGGGGG
rnacentral:lncRNA from 1 species